GAAAAGUGGAAACCAGCGACCACUAUAAAAAACGGGGCCAUACCGAAAAGCCACAAGAGUAGGGAACUA
rfam:Flavobacterium granuli strain DSM 19729 genome assembly, contig: Ga0134107_101